UACGGAGGGUGCAAGCGUUAUCCGGAUUCACUGGGUUUAAAGGGUGCGUAGGUGGGCAGUUAAGUCAGUGGUGAAAUCUCCGGGCUUAACCCGGAAACUGCCAUUGAUACUAUCUGUCUUGAAUACCGUGGAGGUAAGCGGAAUAUGUCAUGUAGCGGUGAAAUGCUUAGAUAUGACAUAGAACACCAAUUGCGAAGGCAGCUUACUACACGUACUAUUGACACUGAGGCACGAAAGCGUGGGGAGCAAACAGG
rnacentral:rRNA from 1 species